GAUGAACGCUGACAGAAUGCUUAACACAUGCAAGUCGAUGGGGAAGUGGUGCUUGCACCAUGGUAACCAUGGCGGACGGGUGAGUAACGCGUAAGGAACUUGCCUGCGGGACUGGGAUAACAGCAGGAAACUGCUGAUAAUACCGGAUAAGGUCAUUAAGCUGCAUAGCUUAGUGAUGAAAGGAGACGCCUGCGGAGAGCCUUGCGUCCUAUUAGCUAGUUGGAGGGGUAACGGCCCACCAAGGCGAAGAUAGGUAGCCGGCCUGAGAGGGUGGACGGCCACAAGGGGACUGAGAUACGGCCCUUACUCCUACGGGAGGCAGCAGUGGGGAAUAUUGGACAAUGGGGGCAACCCUGAUCCAGCAAUUCUGUGUGGACGAAGACGGUUUUCGGAUUGUAAAGUGCUUUCAGCAGGGAAGAAGGAAGUGACGGUACCUGCAGAAGAAGCGACGGCUAAAUACGUG
rnacentral:rRNA from 1 species